UUGAUCAUGGCUCAGGAUGAACGCUAGCGACAGGCUUAACACAUGCAAGUCGAGGGGCAGCACGGUGUAGCGAUACACUGGUGGCGACCGGCGCACGGGUGAGUAACACGUGUGCAACCAACCCCGUACCGGGAGAUAACCCGCGGAAACGUGGACUAACAUCCCAUGACACUCUAGAGCCGCAUGGCUCUAGAUUUAAAAUUCCGGUGGUACGGGACGGGCACGCGCGACAUUAGGUAGUUGGCGGGGUAAGGG
rnacentral:rRNA from 1 species